rnacentral:lncRNA from 1 species
UCUGAGUCCUAUGAGAGGUAGUUAGUGUGUUGCUUGUCAUAGAGGGUUAGUAGUAUGUCGCUGGUCCAUAGAGGGUAGUAAGCAUGUCACUGGUCCGUUAGCAUGUUGCUGGUCCUAUAGAGGGUAGGUAAACAUGUUGCUGGGUCCUAUUAGCAAGGGUAGGUAACAUGUUGGCUUGUCUUAUAGAGGUAUUUGUAUG